AGACAAUGCGGGUCACCAUAGCCGGGUCCACAUUGUGCACACCUGCAUCCCUAAUUCAGCAAAUAAUUUAACUAAUUAUAUAAUCAAGAUCUGAGGCUGGAAUGAAAACCUGCAUACACACGGCCCUCCAUGGCACGAGUUUGACACCACUGGUGUAGAUGGAAGCUCCCUGAGUCCACCAUUGAGCUUCCAUCUACACCAGUGGUCUCCAACCCUGGUACUGGAGAGCUACAGGGGCUGCUGGUUUUUGUUUUCACCUUAAAAUCGGCACCCAAUUGAGACCCAAGACACCAGGUGAGUAGAGUUAACUGUGUAAUCGACUGCUCUAAUUGAUUCAUGAAGUGCAGAGUCACUAUGAAAACCAGCAGACCCUGUAUGUUCUCCAGGUCCAGGGUUGGAGGCUAAGCCUCUGCCACACUCAUCUGCACACUGUUGCCACCUAGCUGCACAGAGAUGAAGUUCUGUGACGGGCGUAGCCCAGCUGCUCAGUAGUGUCAUCCUACCGCCACGCUGAUUGUGUCAUCCUGAGCUACACCUGUGUAGGUCAGGUCAGGUGAGCAGCCCAGGUGAUUUCACGAUCCGUGAAUCUGCUCAGGCGCAUCUGCAACGCAGGUCCCGCUGCGCGGAACGUGCCAGUAACCGUAGCCCCAGCCAGAGAGACUGUCCUGUACAAGGGAGGUUUGUGAAGGGCAUCUCUAUUCUCUGAUGUGAGAAGGUCAGCUGUAUGAGAAAGGUACAAGAACCUGAGCAAAACACAACCAAAAUAACGAUACACGGAGGAGGAACAGUGUUGUCUUCAUCUCACUUUAUUCCAUACAGUUGAACAUUUUUAAAGCAGGGAGUCACAGUGCUAUUCUAUAUCUUUUUGCCAUUUUUUAAAAUGUGUGCACAUAUGCUGUAGAUGUACAUAUGAAAUAGUUUAAUGGUUUGUAGGAUCAAUAUUGAAACCAGCAGCUAGCUUUGUUGCCAGUAUAUAAUGGUCAGGCCACACAAACACAGACAAUGCAAUGGAUGUCAAUAUUGCACUUUUUUCUUCCUAAUUUGCAGUUUGAAAUAAAUUAUUAUUAUUGUUGUUGCUGUUGUUAUUACUAUGGUUGUGAUGAUGACCAUAAUGAUGAUGAUUAUGAUUAUUAUUAUUUGUAGUAGUAGUCGUGGCAGUAGUAGUAGGACUGUUAUUAUUAUUGUUAUUGUUGUUGUUUUAAUGAAUAAUAAUUUUUUUUUUGUAAAUCCAUGUGCCAAUGGACAGCAUACACUUAGAUUUAGUCUCUAAAAGUAAGACAAAAUGUCCUCCCAUUUGUUUAUCUUUCAUCUUAUAAAGACUUGAGGUUGUUUUUAUUUUUUGCAUAUUGUCUUUUUAAUGCUUUUUGAGAAAUUUUCAAUAAAUUAAGAAUAAUUUAA